AAUAAAAUCAGUUGGAAACAUAAUGUCGUCCAACUUGUGUAUGUAUGAGUAAUGGAGCUCAGGGAUCGAAAAUGGCCGCUGUUCGAGGCAGCACAACGGGUGAUGUCACGUGAAAACAACCCAUUGCUGAGUGCCACCUGGUAUUUCAUAGAAUGAUCUAUUUGAAGAACUGUCUCGUCUAUUGUGACAAUCGACAGCACAAGAGAUGGUAAUCUAUAGAAUG